UGGGGAAUACUGGACAAUGGGCGCAAGCCUGAUCCAGCAAUGCCGCGUGUGUGAAGAAGGCCUUCGGGUUGUAAAGCACUUUUUGUCCGGAAAGAAAUCCUUGGCUCUAAUACAGUCGGGGGAUGACGGUACCGGAAGAAUAAGCACCGGCUAACUACGUGCCAGCAGCCGCGGUAAUACGUAGGGUGCAAGCGUUAAUCGGAAUUACUGGGCGUAAAGCGUGCGCAGGCGGUUUGCUAAGACCGAUGUGAAAUCCCCGGGCUCAACCUGGGAACUGCAUUGGUGACUGGCAGGCUAGAGUAUGGCAGAGGGGGGUAGAAUUCCACGUGUAGCAGUGAAAUGCGUAGGGAUGUGGAGGAAUACCGAUGGCGAAGGCAGCCCCCUGGGCCAAUACUGACGCUCAUGCACGAAAAGCGUGGGGAGCAAAACAGGAUUAGAUACCCUGGUAGUCCACGCCCUAAAACGAUGUCAACUAGUUGUUGGGGAUUCAUUUCCUUAGUAACGUAGCUAACGCGUGAAGUUGACCGCCUGGGGAGUACGGUCG
rnacentral:rRNA from 1 species